CAGACAGUAGCUCAGUUGGAAGAGCCCGGACCCACAUCCGGAGGUCAUUGGUUCGAGUCCAAUCUGUCUGA
rnacentral:tRNA from 1 species